AUUUAUUUAUGUGGCUAAUAACGCUCACAUUCUCGCUGAUAUUUGUCUAGGCGAAGGACCAGCUGCGAAAUGCCCCGCAGCUGUAGCCAGAGCUAGAACAGAGUGCCUUGGAACCAGAAAUCAAUGCUCCUGAAAUGAACAAGUGGACAACUUAUUAGGCUCAGUCACUCCACACGCCGUCCCCUGAUAACGAAUAGAUGAAGUAGACGCUGGAGAAGGGACACGCCGGGAAAGGCUACACAUGCCUGUUCCUUGCCGGAGUGGCCGGGUAACAACACCGCGGGGCACAGCCAGCCGCACAGACACCCCCGGGCAGGGCAAGGGGCCGUGACAUGGCCCUUGCGGGCUGCCUAGGGUUAGAUGGCCGAUAAAUGCAGCGAACGCCCGGGAGAACGGCUUCGGGGGUCACUGAUAAAGGUGUCCGGUUUCCCUGCUGCUCCAGAGAGCACAACCGACAGGUUCAGCGAGAUCACGUAGUCGUGGCUUCUCUGCCUAGAAACAGUCACGCUAAUUUUGCAUUUUUACCAUCCACAGGGAGGAAAAAUACCUGUCGUCCCGCAAUGCAAAUCCUUACGCAAAUAGAUCUGCGGGUGCACAGGGAGCUGCUGGCAGCCUGACCUGCCAGCCGAGAGUCACUGGCCCCGAGUUUAGAGGUGCCGGCCAGCAGCGGCACGCCCCGAAAGCACAUGGGAUCUUGAAGUCCCUCGGAACUUGCCGCUGCCUCAGAAAAGUCCGAGAAAGAGUCUGCGGUUAAUCUCCGAGGCCUUCAUACAUCCCUCACGAGCUGCGCCCCAGCGCUAAGUGCAAUUAACAUAACAGACACUAAAAUAGGAGAGCGGCGCUGAAUUUAAUUUGCAGGCUUAGGGAAAAAAAAAAAAAAAAAAAAAAAGGAAAAAGAAAAAAAACUUAGCACUUAGAGCGGUCUAGUGAUGAACGCAAGAAGUGAUAUGGAAGGCGACAGAGUAGCCCUCCUGCCUCGGAGCGGGGCCGCGGCCAGUUCCAUGGACCCUCUCUGGGAGCCGGGAGCAGCUUGGUGCGCGCAGGUUUCUAGACAGGUAAACUCCUCCGACGGAGAUGCGUCCCGCUGCAUGGCUCCAGCACGGCGAGCGCUCCCGUGGCCACCAGGUCAACCGCAGCGCAACCGGGUCGCCAGCGCGGGCAGGCACCUCCCUGAGCCUCCCUGCUGCCCGCCCCGACACCCACGCACCCAGAUCCGGCUCGCUUUCCUGCCCCCGGGUAGAGGGAGGACAUGGAUGGGGGGCAGAAGCGACGGGAUAACCCCCUCCCCGCUUUUCUUUCACCCCCUCCCCCCGGCCUCCUGCAAACUGCCGCUGAAGUUCACAAAAGAGCGAGACAUAAAGAGAUCGAGGUUUCCGAGAAAAGGGAGAGGCGAAAAUAGCGAGCGGAAAACGUGCGAUUAGCAGGCAGACGGGCGGAGACUAGCAGCCCUGCGCGCACACACAGCCCGCAGCUCUGUCUCCGCGCCGUGUAAUCCCAGCGCUCAGCCCUUCUGCACCCCCUCAUUAAAAACCCGGAGAUUUCCUCCUCCUCCUCCGCUCUCCGAGGAAAACAACGCCUGCCACCGCCUGAACCCUGGCAGCGCCGCCCGCCCCGCACCGUCCGCCCGGAGCCGCCCAGGGGCCCCGCGCUCCCCGGCGCCCUGCACGGCGAGCUGCGCGGUCCCCGUCACCCGGCCCCGGCUUCCUCUCGGGAGGCUGAUUCUCGCCCUCCCGUCGCAAAGGGCCGCCCCCGAUGGGACGCACAGCGGGGGCUGGGGGUGGGGAAAGCUGGCUACAGUCCCCUCUACCCCCCGUUUCCGUCCCCAGGGGCUGCUGCUCCCCCGCUGCCAGGGCGGCUGCUUGUUCCCCCCCACCCCCCACUCCCUUUAUCCAUCCCGAGGGCGAGGGUGGGGUGCGCCGAGCCGGAGCUCCCCGCACUGGGGCCGGCGGCGGGGAGCAGCGCCGAGAUCGCCCGGGAGCCGGCGAUCCCGCGGUGGAGCCGGGCACCGCCGCCCACGGCCCCAUGAACAGCGCUUUAUUCCGCAGCGCUCAAACCCCUCAUUGUGUUUGGCAGAAUCACCUGCCUCCUCCGGAGCCGAGCGAUUAAUUUAAUGCGAUACAGAGUGCGCUCCCUCCCGGCCCCUCCUCAGCGGGGAGAUCUCCGCUGGGCGCUCCGCGCCGCGGAGGAGGGGCACGGCACAGCACGGCGGGGCACGGCACGGCACGGCGGGGCACGGCACGGCACGGCAAAGCGGGCUGGCAUCCUCCGAGCACCGGCUCUCCCGGCGGCGCCCGGGGAAACAUUCCCCGCCCGGUAGCGGCGGAGCGUCAGCUCCGAUCGGAGUCGCACACAAGCAUCCGCCGCGCAGACCUGCUCGGUGCCCGGGGGGGCUGCGAGGCGGGCGGGGGCCGAGCCGUGCCUGGCCAGGGGAUUUGAUGGGUCGUUGGCUGCGCCUGGGGAAAGGCGGGCGGAGGGGGGGCGGUUGGCUGCGCCUAGCGAUGGGGGAUUUGAGAGGAAAGGGGAGGGGGGCUGAGCUCGGUGGAGGGGGUGCCGACUGCCGCGACUGCUGGGGACGGCGGCUGUUAUUAUUGUUAUUACUGUUAUUGUUAUUUUUAGGGGGCGGUGGUGGUGGGAGCGAGGGGGGCUGGGGCGGUCCGCGCUCGGCGG
rnacentral:lncRNA from 1 species